UGUAGCUUGGUGUGGUUUGUGUGUUGGACUAGAAUUCCGGAGACCAGGGUUCAAUUCCCUGACUAUUG